ACUCAAAGGAAUUGACGGGGGCCCGCACAAGCGGAGGAGCAUGUGGCUCAAUUCGAUGCUACGCGAAGAACCUUACCCAGACUUGACAUUCAGCUGCAAGGUCGGUGAAAGCCGACUGCCUUCGAGGGUGCUGAACAGGUGCUGCAUGGCUGUCGUCAGUUCGUGCCGUGAGGUGUUCGGUUAAGUCCGAUAACGAACGCAACCCCUGCGUCUAGUUGCCAGCGAGUAAUGUCGGGAACUCUAGACGGACUGCCCGUUUACGCGGGAGGAAGGUGGGGAUGACGUCAAGUCAGUAUGGCCCUUACGUCUGGGGCUGCACACGUGCUACAAUGGCCGGUACAGAGGGAUGCCAAGCCGCGAGGCGGAGCGACCCCCAAAACCGGCCCCAGUUCGGAUUGCAGGCUGCAACUCGCCUGCAUGAAGUCGGAUUCGCUAGUAACGGCGCAUCAGCUACGGCGCCGUGAAUACGUUCCCGGGCCUUGCACACACCGCCCGU
rnacentral:rRNA from 1 species